GAUCAUGGCUCAGGAUGAACGCUAGCGGGAGGCUUAAUACAUGCAAGUCGAGCGGUAAGGUUUCGGACCUAGAGCGGCGAACGGGUGAGUAACGCGUACGAAACCUACCUUUAAGAGAGGGAUAGCCCUGGGAAACUGGGAGUAAUACCUCAUAGUAUUCAAUAACCGCAUGGUUUAUGGAUUAAAGCUGCGGCGCUUAAAGAUGGUCGUGCGUCUGAUUAGCUAGUUGGCGGGGUAACGGCCCACCAAGCCUUCGAUCAGUAGCUGAUGUGAGAGCAUGAUCAGCCACACGGGCACUGAGACACGGGCCCGACUCCUACGGGAGGCAGCAGUAAGGAAUAUUGGUCAAUGGACGCAAGUCUGAACCAGCCAUGCCGCGUGGAGGAUGAAGGCCCUCUGGGUUGUAAACUUCUUUUCUUUGGGACGAAGCCCCUGUUUCUACGGGGACUGACGGUACCAGAGGAAUAAGCACCGGCUAACUCCGUG
rnacentral:rRNA from 1 species